rnacentral:rRNA from 1 species
UACGUAGGGUGCGAGCGUUGUCCGGAAUUAUUGGGCGUAAAGAGCUCGUAGGCGGUUUGUUGCGUCUAUCGUGAAAACCUGCAGCUUAACUGUGGGCUUGCGGUGGAUACGGGCAGACUUGAGUUCGGUAGGGGAGACUGGAAUUCCUGGUGUAGCGGUGAGAUGCGCAGAUAUCAGGAGGAACACCGGUGGCGAAGGCGGGUCUCUGGGCCGAUACUGACGCUGAGGAGCGAAAGCGUGGGGAGCGAACAGG